CAGGGACACUUGGGACACUUUGUCCUUUGGACACUUUGUCCUUUACACACCACGGGAGUCUGGGAGCUGCCCCAUCUGCGAAGGAAGGAGGAACUGAAUUCCAAAGCUGUGGAGAGCAGCACAGGGCACUUUGGGAGAGGACAUGAAAGGAGAGCACAAGGCACAGGGACACACAUGGGGCCCAGACUUAAAAGCUUUCCAGACAGAGAAGACAUCAUCAAGCUCUGCCGGCAGGGAAGUGGCUGGGAUUUGGAUCGCUUCCCCCAGACUGAAAGAAACACUUCUCGUUUUUUUUCCCCCCCCUUCCUCCAAAGAGCCUAAAUUUAGUGAAUUCCUUUCACAUUAAAAACUUGUCAGGUAUUCA